AACCUGGUUGAUCCUGCCAGUAGUCAUACGCUCGUCUCAAAGAUUAAGCCAUGCAUGUCUAAGUAUAAACGACUUUGUACUGUGAAACUGCGAAUGGCUCAUUAUAUCAGUUAUAGUUUAUUUGAUAGUCCCUUACUACAUGGAUACCCGUAGUAAUUCUAGAGCUAAUACAUGCACCGACUCCCAACUGCCUCGGCGGACGGGACGUAUUUAUUAGAUAGAAACCAAUGCGGGGGAGACCCCGGUAUUGUGGUGAGUCAUGAUAACUGUGCGAAUCGCAUGGCCUUGUGCCGGCGAUGGAUCAUUCAAGUUUCCGCCCUAUCAGCUUUGGAUGGUAGGGUAUUGGCCUACCAUGGCAUUCACGGGUAACGGAGAACUGGGGUUCGAUUCCGGAGAGGGAGCCUGAGAGACGGCUACCACAUCCCAAGGAAGGCAGCAGGCGCGUAAAUACCCAAUCCUGACACAGGGAGGUAGUGACGAAGAAUAACAAUGCCGGGCUCUUUCGAGUCUGGCAAUUGGAAUGAGACCAAUUUAAAUCCCUUAUCGAGGAUCCUCGGAGGGCAAGUUGGUGCCGCAGCCGCGUAUCCGCUCCC
rnacentral:rRNA from 1 species